GUCCCUGUAGCUCAAUUGGAUAGAGCAUCUGCCUUCUAAGCAGAGGGUUGCGUGUUCGAGUCACGCCAGGGACA
rnacentral:tRNA from 1 species